GACGAACGCUGGCGGCGUGCUUAACACAUGCAAGUCGAACGGAAAGGCCCUGCUUUUGUGGGGUGCUCGAGUGGCGAACGGGUGAGUAACACGUGAGUAACCUGCCCUUGACUUUGGGAUAACUUCAGGAAACUGGGGCUAAUACCGGAUAGGAGCUCCUGCUGCAUGGUGGGGGUUGGAAAGUUUCGGCGGUUGGGGAUGGACUCGCGGCUUAUCAGCUUGUUGGUGGGGUAGUGGCUUACCAAGGCUUUGACGGGUAGGCGGCCUGAGAGGGUGACCAGCCACAUUGGGACUGAGAGACGGCCCAGACUCCUACGGGAGGCAACAGUGGGGAAUAUUGCACAAUGGGCGGGAGCCUGAUGCAGCAACGCCGCGUGCGGGAUGACGGCCUUCGGGUUAUGAACCGCUUUCGCCUGUGACGAAGCGUGAGUGACGGUAAUGGGUAAAGAAGCACCGGCUAACUACGUG
rnacentral:rRNA from 1 species